CAGUCGCCGCGGUAAUACGGAGGGUGCAAGCGUUAAUCGGAAUUACUGGGCGUAAAGAGUGCGUAGGCGGCUUUUUAAGUCGGAUGUGAAAUCCCUGAGCUUAACUUAGGAAUUGCAUUCGAUACUGGGAAGCUAGAGUAUGGGAGAGGAUGGUAGAAUUCCAGGUGUAGCGGUGAAAUGCGUAGAGAUCUGGAGGAAUACCGAUGGCGAAGGCAGCCAUCUGGCCUAAUACUGACGCUGAGGUACGAAAGCAUGGGGAGCAAACAGGAUUAGAUACCCCCGUAGUCCCUGUCUCUUAUAC
rnacentral:rRNA from 1 species